GUUACGGGGCGCUGGUGGGACAAACGCAGCCAGACGCCGGACUUGUUGGGUGGCGUUAAAAAGGCUCCCAGAAUGGGGACCAGAGAUGGGAAGAACAUAGGAGACGUACACAAGACCAUCCAGUUGAAAUAAUGCUGUUUCCAACUGAGAAAAAGAAGCCCGUUUAUUCCUAAUAGGGGGCAUCAGGUAGGAAUCAAACUUCAUUGCAAACAGCUCACCAUCCUAUUGGGAGAUGAAUGAAUGUUUCUCUGUUUUGCUUUUUCCUCA
rnacentral:lncRNA from 1 species